GACGAACGCUGGCGGCGUGCUUAACACAUGCAAGUCGAGCGAUGAAGCUCCUUCGGGAGUGGAUUAGCGGCGGACGGGUGAGUAACACGUGGGUAACCUGCCUCAUAGAGGGGAAUAGCCUUCCGAAAGGAAGAUUAAUACCGCAUAAGAUUGUAGUACCGCAUGGUACAGCAAUUAAAGGAGUAAUCCGCUAUGAGAUGGACCCGCGUCGCAUUAGCUAGUUGGUGAGGUAACGGCUCACCAAGGCGACGAUGCGUAGCCGACCUGAGAGGGUGAUCGGCCACAUUGGGACUGAGACACGGCCCAGACUCCUACGGGAGGCAGCAGUGGGGAAUAUUGCACAAUGGGGGAAACCCUGAUGCAGCAACGCCGCGUGAGUGAUGACGGUCUUCGGAUUGUAAAACUCUGUCUUCUGGGACGAUAAUGACGGUACCAGAGGAGGAAGCCACGGCUAACUACGUGCCAGCAGCCGCAGUAA
rnacentral:rRNA from 1 species